AGUGAACGCUGGCGGUAGGCCUAACACAUGCAAGUCGAACGGCAGCACAGGAGAGCUUGCUCUCUGGGUGGCGAGUGGCGGACGGGUGAGGAAUACAUCGGAAUCUACUCUGUCGUGGGGGAUAACGUAGGGAAACUUACGCUAAUACCGCAUACGACCUACGGGUGAAAGCAGGGGACCUUCGGGCCUGGCGCGAUUGAAUGAUCCGAUGUCGGAUUAGCUAGUUGGCGGGGUAAAGGCCCCCCAAGGCGACGACCCGUAGCUGGUCUGAGAGGAUGAUCAGCCACACUGGAACUGAGACACGGUCCAGACUCCUACGGGAGGCAGCAGUGGGGAAUAUUGGACAAUGGGCGCAAGCCUGAUCCAGCCAUACUGCGUGGGUGAAGAAGGCCUUCGGGUUGUAAAGCCCUUUUGUUGGGAAAGAAAUCCAGCUGGCUAAUACCCGGUUGGGAUGACGGUACCCAAAGAAUAAGCACCGGCUAACUUCGUGCCAGCAGCCGCAGUAA
rnacentral:rRNA from 1 species